AGAACAGAAAUACCGGAAAGUUUAAUAGAUACACACCAGUUUUAAGGAUAAGUUUCACAUACACACGAGAAAUUAUUGAGGGCAAGCAGCAUGCAUCCAGAGCAACUCUCUAUAUGCUUAAUUUCUCAGGCCUUUCGGCACACAUCUCCAUCGCACGUCCAUCCCUCCUUUCCCUUUUCAGCCUCGCCUUUUUCCUCUUUCUUUAAAGCACACUUGGGGUGGAGAUCAAAGUCGCAUUGCCUACAAUAGAAAGAGUAGAGGUAUCCCAUCUCCCUACAGCCAUUGCACACAUAUCCACUGCGUUUUGUGCGAGUAAGCUCGUGCUGAGAAUGAAGUUCAUGUUUCAGCUUCUCAGGCCACGCCUUUGCUGUUUCCUCCAGCUUUUCUUCUAGUUGCUUCAGGUGAUCUUCAGUGAAUGGAUAUGCAUCUGCUCCAUAAGCUGCUAGGUGUUCUCUUGCUUCCUUAGUUAUUGUCUGCCCUUUGGGGCUGAUGGCUAUGGCUGCAGGAAUACCUUUUAUUUUGAAUUUUCGUUGCAGGAUUGUUUUCCUUUCAUCACCAAAUGGAAGAGCUAACCAAGGCAUUUCUGAAUAGAAUUCAUCGAACGAAGAUUGAUCGCGGUCACUUGAGAUGAAGAUUACCUCAAAUGCAUUGUCCUUCGCCUUGAUUUCAUGGUAUGCUUCAAUUAGCUUGGGUAAAAAGGCUCGACAGGGUGGGCACCAUUUUGCUGAGAAAUAGAGGAGAACAUUCUUUCCAACUAGUUCUGAUACAGCAACCUUGGAACCGCU
rnacentral:misc_RNA from 1 species